rnacentral:rRNA from 1 species
ACGGAAGGCAGCAGUGGGGAAUAUUGGGCAAUGGGGGGAACCCUGACCCAGCAACGCCGCGUGGAGGAAGAAGGUCUUCGGAUCGUAAACUCCUGUCCUAGGGGAAGAGAAGGAGACUGUACCUUAGGAGGAAGCCCCGGCUAACUACGUGCCAGCAGCCGCGGUAAUACGUAGGGGGCGAGCGUUGCCCGGAAUGAUUGGGCGUAAAGGGCGCGUAGGCGGCCCGGUAAGUCAGAAGUGAAAGUCCUGCUUUCAAGGUGGGAAUUGCUUUUGAUACUGUCGGGCUUGAGUGCAGGAGAGGUUAGUGGAAUUCCCAGUGUAGCGGUGAAAUGCGUAGAGAUUGGGAGGAACACCAGUGGCGAAGGCGACUAACUGGACUGUAACUGACGAUGAGGCGCGAAAGUGUGGGGAGCAAACAGGAUUAGAUACCAUGGUA